rnacentral:rRNA from 1 species
UACGUAGGUGGCAAGCGUUGUCCGGAUUUAUUGGGUUUAAAGGGUGCGUAGGCGGUUUUGUAAGUCAGUGGUGAAAUACUCCAGCUUAACUGGAGGGGUGCCAAUGAUACUGCAGAACUUGAGUACAGAUGAGGUAGGCGGAAUUGACGGUGUAGCGGUGAAAUGCGUAGAUAUCAUUUGGAACGCCAAUGGUGAAAACAGGUAGCUGGGGCUGUGCUGACACUGAGACACGAAAGCCAGGGGAGCAAACGGG